UACGUAGGGUGCAAGCGUUAAUCGGAAUUACUGGGCGUAAAGCGCACGUAGGCGGCUUUGUAAGUCAGAGGUGAAAUCCCGGGGCUCAACCCCGGAACUGCCUUUGAGACUGCAAGGCUCGAAUCCAGGAGAGGUGAGUGGAAUUCCGAGUGUAGAGGUGAAAUUCGUAGAUAUUCGGAAGAACACCAGUGGCGAAGGCGGCUCACUGGACUGGUAUUGACGCUGAGGUGCGAAAGCGUGGGGAGCAAACAGG
rnacentral:rRNA from 1 species